rnacentral:rRNA from 1 species
GGGCCCGCACAAGCGGUGGAGCAUGUGGUUUAAUUCGAUGAUACGCGAGGAACCUUACCAGGGCUUAAAUGUAGUAUGACCGGCUUGGAAACAGGCCUUCUCUUCGGAGCAGAUUACAAGGUGCUGCAUGGUUGUCGUCAGCUCGUGCCGUGAGGUGUUAGGUUAAGUCCUGCAACGAGCGCAACCCCUAUUCUUAGUUGCCAGCGGUUCGGCCGGGGACUCUAAGAAGACUGCCAGCGCAAGCUGAGAGGAAGGUGGGGAUGACGUCAAAUCAUCACGGCCCUUACGUCCUGGGCUACACACGUGCUACAAUGGUAGAGACAGAGGGCAGCCACCUGGCGACAGGGACGAAAUCCUUAAAACUCUAUCUCAGUUCGGAUCGAAGUCUACAACUCGACUUCGUG